UGCCACGCCCAUGCAGUUUCAGCCAAUCACAGCAGAGCAGAACAGCUGAACGCAACACACCUUUCUAAUUAGUAAGACGCGAAAAACUCGGCGUGCUCUGCAGCAGGUGCAUCACGAUUGGCCGUGCCCAAAAAGAAGUGAAUGCAGUGCGUGUGGUGUUUCCUCAUGUCAGGAUGUUGCUGUGCUGGUGUCCGGUGUCACAGCCUGAAGUAUCAGUUCCUGAGAGUCUAUGCCAACAAAAGAAUAGAAGAUCUCCACAAACUUCUCCUGGGAACGUUGCUACAGAUAUUUAAAGAACAUGAAGAGGACAUGAAACCCCAAAUCAAAAGACUUUAAAGACUUACAGCAUUGCCAUUUUCCUGCAGAGGCUGACUAUUGCUACUACUACACACAACUAUAAUAUCAGUGUUGCUCCCAGGACCUGUGACUGCACAAAUUCCUCUGGAGUGAUGUUGGACAAACUCUGCCAUUUGCAAAAUUCAAAGUUGAAGAACAGGAAACAAGUGCAGACUGCAACAAAUGAUCAACUGAAAAACAUCCUGUGCAGCAACACCGUGCUAAACUUACCUGUAAGAUGGUAAUGCUUAGAGUCAGGUAUUCAUUCUGAUGCUUUGUAAGUGCAAUAACAUUAAUGGAAUUAGGAAAGAAAAGUACCACACAUUACUUAGAACAGCUUUAUUAUUUAAAUAAAGUACAUAAGACAUUAUUUUACAUAAGACAUGAGACACUUUGUGAAGAAAAAUGUUCACAAAACAGUACAGUGCACAUGCAAAUGAAGAAAAACAGCAAAUUUUACAUGUGUACUGUACUGAAUGUUUUAGUUUAUAUAUCUUUGAGCACUUAAAGAAAGAGCCUUAAAAAUGUUAUUUAAAUUAGCAUUUUUGAAGGGUUGUUUUAAUUUUUGUUCACUUGUCUCUGAUCCUUUCUUAACAAUUGUAAUUUUGCUUUUUAUUUGUAAAUGUAUUUUAUUUUCUAAUGAAUGCAAAUGUUUUAAUUGUUUACUAUUUACAUGUCUGUUAUUUAUGUACGUUUUUUCGUGUUUUAUUUACAUGCACACUGUACCGACUGCCCAGUUUAUUUACAUGUGCAUCGUACUGGUUUCUCAACAGAAAUGCUGUGUAUGUAAAUCAUGUUCAAAAUAAAGCUGUUGCAAAUAAUGUGCUUCCUCUUUUCUAAUUCUAUUGUUUUAUAUAUAGAAUAUAACAGAACAAAUGUCUGACUUUACAUAUCAACAGUACAGUGCACAUGUAAAUAAACCACAGAAAA